AAUUAUGCUUUGAAGAGAAGAGUAAGUAACAAGAAGUAAGAAAAGAGACCCUUGUCUGGUGAAAAUGGGGAUUACUGCAAGUUAGUGAAGAUGAGCUCUGAGCAUCUGGUGUUGUUCACGCAAACCAGACGGUAAGCGACCGUUAAAUAGCCAAGUAUGUUUGUACUGUUGAGGUAUUAUUUGAAAAAAUAAUAUAAAUAAGGGUGGUAUCACGGAAAUAUUCGUCCCUUUA
rnacentral:ncRNA from 1 species